AACAACUCACCUGCCGAAUGAAUUAGCCCUGAAAAUGGAUGGCGCUUAAGCGGGUGGCCGACACCACACCGUGUGACCGAGACAAUUGGCGUCACAUGAGUAGGAGGGCGUGGCGGGCGUGGCGAAGCGUGGGCGCGAGCCUGCGUGGAACGGUCCGCUAGUGCAGAUCUUGGUGGUAGUAGCAAGUAUUCAAGCGAGAACCUUGAAGGGCGAAGCGGGGAAGGGUUCCACGCGAACAUUGAUUGGGCGUGGGUGAGUCGUUCCUAAGUUGAGUGGCAAUUGCAAAGUAUUGACGAAAGGGAAGCGGGUUGAAAUUCCCGCACACGGAUGUGGAAACGCGGUGACGCGACAUGGGGCGAACACGCUGGCGGUGGCACUGGGCAGAGUUGUCUUUUCUGUUUGACUGCGUGUGCGCGCUGUGUGGAAUCCGAUUGUCGGGAGAAACACGCGUGCACGGGCAUAGCGCCGGGGUUUUUCCGGCGUCCAGCUCGCCAUCGACGGCCCUUGAAACUUUGCCUGCUGAUAAAUCCACGCCGUGGCGUACCGAUCACCGCAUCAGGUCCCCAAGGUGAACAGCCUCUGCUCCAUAUGAACAAU
rnacentral:rRNA from 1 species